ensembl:rRNA 5S_rRNA 5S ribosomal RNA
ACCCUGGCACCAUAACAGCCUGAGGGUGCACCAGUCCAGAAGAUAAGCAGGCUCAGGCCUGACUGGUGCUUGGAUGGGGGACCACCUGGGGAGACUGGGAGCUGGAGGUU